UUCUCUGUUCCAGAUGUGCCUCUGGCCCAGGGCUUUACAGCCGUAUGGCCUGGUCACCCCCGCGUGCACCCUGACCCUGGAUCCCCCAGGAGUCGCGCAGACCAGGUGCUCCCGGGGGCACAGGUGGGAGGCAGGCCACGGAGACAGAUAGGUAAGGAGUAGGCUUUCGGGGGUGGCGAGGGUGGAAAGGAAGCUGUGGGGGCCGCCAGGUCCGGGGCAGGGGCGGGCCGCAGCUCUGGGAGUGAGAGUGGGAGCCCUGGGGCUCCUGGCUCAGAAGCAGCCCAAGGGAGUUCCCCUUGUGGCUCAGCGGGUUCCGAACUCAAGGACCCAGGUUCGAUGCCUGGCCUCACUCAGGGGGUUAAGGAUCUGGCAUUGCUGAGAGCUGCGAGGCGUGGGUCGCAGAUGCGGCUCGGAUCCCGUGUUGCUGUCAUCGUGUGGAGACCGGCAGCUGCAGCUCCAGUUCAACCCCCGGCCUGGGAACUUCCUAUGUUGCAGGAGAGACCCUAAAAAGCCAAAAAAAGAAAGAAAGAAAAAGAAAAGGAAAGCAGAGGCCCUGAGACAGAAGUCGACUGUGUUCCAGAGACGCUAGGCUGGGGUGCUGGACGGGGAGGGGGGUGCAGGCCACACAGACCACGGUCCUGGGAAUCAGUGGCUCUGGAGGGAGAGGGAGGCCCCCAGCUGGACCGUCCGAAUGGAUCUCAUUGGGAAUCGGGUCCUUGUGGACAUAAUUCAGACUUUUUCCACUUUCAGAGAGAUGUGGUCACUUCAACAUCCCGGUGCGUGACCGGCUUCUUUCCCUCAAGCACCGGUGGCGCUGUCCCAUCACGCGAGGUCCAUUUGGUCCUUUGGCAGCAGCUUCUGACAGGUGUGGCGUCUGGGUGUCGCGUGGGUGUACUGACCAGGCCAGUGGGUGGACACUGGGCCGCCAAGAGGGUGCCUGCACUUUUGCACCUUUGGGGUCACACCGUCGGAGUGGGGGCUGGGUCAGAGGUGGGGCACAGCUCACGGCAUGGAGGGUCUUCCUGGACAGCCCCCUCCCCACAAUGGGGGGGAGCUCACAGAGCGGAGGGGGGGCGGCUGGAGGCCCUGGAGGAAGGCCAGCAUUGGGCAGGUCCUGCUGGAAUCCAGCCCUGGUUUGAUGUUCCCUUUGACGGUCUGCCUAUAGGACACUUUGGUCUGCAGCAGCCAGUAGCCCAGCUUCCACUCCGGGGAAAGAGCGUCUCUCCGGCACCAUCAGGGGCAGCCUUGACCUGGCAGGUCAGGGAGGCCAGUGGGAGCCUGACGCAUCCACCCAAACGCACCCCCUGGCUGUGCACCCAUCUGUCGUCCCCCAGCCUGUCCUCUCCUCUCAGGGGGCGGGCACCACUCUGCACACUGACCCCCUUCCCUUGCUCACCCUUCAUCCAUCCUUCACGCUUUUUAUUUUAUUUUUUGUCUUUUGUUAUUUUCAGGGCUGCACCUGCAGCAUAUGGAGGUUCCCAGGCUAGGCGUUGAAUCAGAGCUGUAGCUGCCCGGCCACAGCCAUGCCAGAUCCAAUUCGCAUGUGCGACCUACGCCACAGCUCACGGCAAUGCCGGGUCCUGAACCCACCGAGCAAGGCCGGGGAUCGAACCCGCAACCUCAUGGUUCCUGGUUGGAUUCGCUUCCGCUGUGCCACGAUGGGAACUCCCACUCUUUCCAUCCUCUCGCCCAGCCACCCACAUCAGUUAUUCGUGUGUAGCCAACAACCUCAACGCUUAGUGGCUUUGAAAAGUAAGGAACAGGCGCGGGGGAGCAAGCAAGAGUUUAAAGAAUGGUGGAGACACGUCCAAGAAGACAGGAGCCAGCUCCCCACUGACCAACUUGUAGGCAAGCUGAUCAUCAAACAGACAGUGACAGUAAAAGCUUAUAAUCUACGGGGCAAAGUAAGAGCCCUGAGUCCAAAGCAAUGGGGAAAAAAAUGAAUCCACGGAGAAGAUGCAGCAGCUCUCGCGAGAAUGCCAGCUCAGCGAGCACCUCGGGCCAGGUACCACCACCACCACCCCCUGAUCCAGACCCCAGCCAUGGGGGAGCGGACGUGAGCCAGUGAGGGCUCGAGGGGGAGGACAGCCUCUGCCUGGCCUCAGGCUGUGCCCCACUGACGCCUCAGGCACGUCUGUGCAGAGAGGAGAGAUGCAGCAGGCACCUCCUUAACCGCGCCCUCGACCUUGCCGCCAGGCUGAGGUCGGCGGUAAAGGGCCACACUCACAUCCUGUGCCUCGUGACACGGCGCCCAAAGAAGCCCUGAGCCGCGGCCACGACAACCCCCGAUCCUUCACCAGGUUCCCGGGAAUUGCAUCAACAGCCUUGUUGAGGCAGGACUCAGAACCCAUCAAGUUCCCCCUUUGAAAGCGGCUUUUCGCGCCUUCGCAGCUGCAUAUCCGUCUCAACGCGCAAGUUCCAGAACCUUCCCACCCCCAAGGAAACCCCGGGCCCUCGAGCAGCCUCCCCGUUUCCCCCUCUCCCGGCCUGGGGA
rnacentral:lncRNA from 1 species